CCUCCAUGCCCUGAUUAAUUAGCCUGCUCAGCUUUUAGUCUGUGAACGGCUGCAGGAAUGAAUGUCCUGUGGAGUCAAGCCUGAGGACAGACAACCACAAAACAAGAGGGUUAGGCACAGUUUCACCAAGGAACAGUAGCCAAGAUCUGGAGGAAAAACCUGCCAAGAUCAUCAGCUGAAUGCCUCUUCCCCUCAACUUGUGACAGAGCCCACCUGCAGUGCUGCAUCCAGCUCUGGCCCCAGCACAGUAGGGACACAGACUGUGGGAGUGAGUCCAGAGGAUGGACAUAAAGAUGGCCAGGGGGCUGGAGCACCUCUGCUAUGGAGACAGCCUGAGAGAACUGGAGAUGCUCAGCCUGGAAAAGAAAAGGCUCCAGGGACACCUUACAGCACCUUCCAGUACCUAAGGGGGCUCAGGAGAGCUGGAGAGAGACUUUUUACAAGGGCAUGUAGCAACAGGACAAGGGGAAAUGGCCUGAUACUGAAAGAGGGCAGGUUUAGAACUUCCACCCACCCCCAUGGCCAUGCCUGGCCCUGGACAUGGCUGUAUCCUACGGGCCCAAGGAACAAGAGAAAACUCAACAGACAUCUCCUGAAACAAAGAUAAAUCCAAACACUACAGAAAGCCACUUUCUCUAGGUCUGACAACUCGGAGCACUGUGCCUGAUCAGAUAAUGAAUGUUUACGUGUGGUGGUCAGUGUUUCCCAACUGCUCCAUUGUUCCCAGCAUCGGGGUGAAGCCCUGAUGCCAUCAAGACAAGAAAGCAACAGGAGAAGAAGGAAGGAUUUCCUGCCUGGCAAGAGCAGUCCUGUUUAAAUCAGAGAUGGAGUUAACCACCCAUUCAAACAUAUGCACACAAAACACUGACACAGAUUUCCUGGAUCUGCCUUGCACAGGAUUACUAAAUGCCAGUGAACUGUGUUUAAUGAAACAGGGUGACAUGAUUCCAUAGUGCUGGCAACAAGGCAGGCAGAAGAAUGAUCACAGACUGUCCUUUGUUUGUUUGUCCCUCUGGAAAAGCAUUCAUUGUGUUGCCAUCCUCUGCCCUGAUGUGGAUGCCAUCCUCUGCCCUUUGAAUGUGCUGAGUCGCUUGAGAGACUCUGGGGGAAAAUUUACAGCCUGGCCGUCACGUAGAUUAUGGUUGCUUGGCUGAUUAAAGAAGGGUAUGUAUUUUAUUAAUAAUUGUGUUUAUCCUCAGCUUUAGGGUUUGCACCUCCAGCAGGAGUGGGUUUCCCCUUUGAGUUCACACCUGGUGACAUCAGUGAUGCUUAGGCACUUGACAACAGGGUAGAUGUGAAGAUCUGCUGCAAAAUCUGAGGGAUCUCUUUGGUAUCCAUGGCAAUGAAAGACCGACCUGCUGGCAGUGUCCUCUGCAGCCUAAGAAGCAGAAUGAGGGACAAAGCACAAUUAACACCUCAAAUUAUUUUCCAUACCACAAGACAGGAUUCCUCACAUUGCUGUCACCGUGCAAUUAAAGGUUUGGGAAAGCAACAAAGGGAGAAACACUGAGAGCAGGUAGGGCACAGAGUUCCUUUCAGCAACACAAACAAGUGUCUCCAGAGAUUUCUAUCCACACCCUGACAUGCCAGAACUCCACUUUGAUCAAGGUACCAGUGAUCCCAUGAGGUGAUAGCUGAGGACAGCUACAGAUUUACACUGGAAAUGAAGAUUCUUAUCCUAAAUUGACUAUCAUGAACCCAUGAGCUCUUUCAGUUCAACAAGUCCAGUGAUUCUAACUGUGCUCUUUGUAGUUCUUCUUUGACAUCGCUGCAGAUUACACAGAAAUGUAUUCUGCCAAUAGUAACCUGACAUUUUUAUCCACAGCUUAACCCACCCUUAAAAGUCAAACUACAUGCAUGUUACAAAUCCCAGCUCCCUCAUGUCCAGUUAGCAGGCUUGGGAUUUAUUUUUCUGCUUUUUACAGGAGAUUUUGUUCUAUACUAUUCAUCCAAGUGAGCAAACUGUCACUUUUAAUAUUAGUUUAAAAAAAAAUGCAACAGAGAAUUCCCUUCUCCUUCCCCCACAGCAGUUACAGGAAGGGUUUGUCUAAUUCUGCACUUCCACAUACAUAGAAAUGCAUUUCAGUGACAGCACUGUAUGCAUU